rnacentral:rRNA from 1 species
UACGUAGGGCGCAAGCGUUGUCCGGAAUUAUUGGGCGUAAAGAGCUCGUAGGCGGUCUGUUACGUCCGCUGUGAAAACCCAGGGCUUAACCCUGGGCUUGCAGUGGAUACGGGCAGACUAGAGGCAGGUAGGGGAGAAUGGAAUUCCCGGUGUAGCGGUGAAAUGCGCAGAUAUCAGGAGGAACACCAAUGGCGAAGGCAGCUCGCUGGAACGGUACUGACGCUGAGGCGCGAAAGCGUGGGGAGCGAACAGG